UACAGAGGGGGCGAGCGUUGUUCGGAAUUACUGGGCGUAAAGGGCGCGUAGGCGGCCUCCUAAGUCGAACGUGAAAUCCCCGGGCUCAACCCGGGAACUGCGUCCGAUGCUGGGAAGCUUGAAUCCGGGAGAGGGAUGUGGAAUUCCAGGUGUAGCGGUGAAAUGCGUAGAUAUCUGGAGGAACACCGGUGGCGAAGGCGGCAUCCUGGACCGGUAUUGACGCUGAGGCGCGAAAGCCAGGGGAGCAAACGGG
rnacentral:rRNA from 1 species